rnacentral:rRNA from 1 species
UACGGAGGGUGCAAGCGUUAAUCGGAAUUACUGGGCGUAAAGCGUGCGCAGGCGGUUUGUUAAGUCCGUUGUGAAAGCCCCGAGCUCAACUUGGGAAUUGCAGUGGAUACUGGCAGGCUGGAGUACGGUAGAGGAAGGCGGAAUUCCCGGUGUAGCAGUGAAAUGCGUAGAUAUCGGGAGGAACACCAGUGGCGAAGGCGGCCUUCUGGACCAGUACUGACGCUCAUGCACGAAAGCGUGGGGAGCAAACAGG